ACGGAAAUAGUUCGGUUGGGAGAGCGUUAGACUAAGUUCGAAAGGUCCCUAUUUCGAUCCCGGGGUUCGGCA
rnacentral:tRNA from 1 species